rnacentral:lncRNA from 1 species
UAAAAUUUAUAAAUAUGCUUAACAUAAGCCACAAAUUUUUACUUCUUCUUUAACGACUCAUUCUUACACAUAUGCAUGUUAAUAAAUCACAGAAAAUGAUCGAAUCCUUGUUCAAUUGUUUGUUAAACAUUGAAUAUUAUAACAGAGCUUCAAUAAAAAAAUACACCCAAUAUUCAACAAAAUGCGAGAGUGGGAGAGGACAAAAAUAUGUAGUGUUAAAUAAUCAAAAUCGUAAUCAAUAUGAAUUAGUUCAAAAAGCCAAAACCUUGUGAGAUACAAACACACAGAUGUACACGUACAUGACCACAAGGCAAUUAAUUCCAUACCCCCAGAAUUCUUAUUGACCAUGUAGACACAAAAGAAAAAAUUGUGGGAUACCAUCCUCACAUGUCUUGGCUAGGAUUUGCAGGUAUAUAUAGAAAACACACAGCUCUUCCCAAGAAAAAGGAAUAGGGUACAGAACUUGAAAGACAAAGUUGUUCCAGUAUGCAUACUAGAAAUCGUAAAUUAUCAUGAUAAUUUUCAGCACAUCUAUAAAAUAGUAAACAAUAUAUAGCUUCAAUAAGAAAAAAUAAGUUCAAUAAAAAAUCACACCCAAUAUUCAACAAAAAAUAG